rnacentral:rRNA from 1 species
GAUGAACGCUGGCGGCGUGCCUAAUACAUGCAAGUCGAGCGAACAGAUAAGGAGCUUGCUCCUUUGACGUUAGCGGCGGACGGGUGAGUAACACGUGGAUAACCUACCUAUAAGACUGGGAUAACUUCGGGAAACCGGAGCUAAUACCGGAUAACAUAUUGAACCGCAUGGUUCAAUAGUGAAAGGCGGCUUUGCUGUCACUUAUAGAUGGAUCCGCGCCGUAUUAGCUAGUUGGUAAGGUAACGGCUUACCAAGGCAACGAUACGUAGCCGACCUGAGAGGGUGAUCGGCCACACUGGAACUGAGACACGGUCCAGACUCCUACGGGAGGCAGCAGUAGGGAAUCUUCCGCAAUGGGCGAAAGCCUGACGGAGCAACGCCGCGUGAGUGAUGAAGGUCUUCGGAUCGUAAAACUCUGUUAUCAGGGAAGAACAAAUGUGUAAGUAACUGUGCACAUCUUGACGGUACCCGAUCAGAAAGCCACGGCUAACUACGUG